UGUAGUAAAGAAGCAGAGCAGCAUUAAAAAUCCUAGCAAAAUAUUAAAUGGAGUGCCAGAAAACUGUACACAUUGGUGAAUUCCCUGCUCAAAGACAUCUCAUUCAACUCAGCAAUAAAUGAUCAGGUUCAGCAGGUGUCAGAGCAGGGAAAUCACCACCAUGUGCAGGACUCCAUGACAAUAACUGAAAGUAUGAGAGAUGUACAGGCUGGAGGAGAAGAUUUCUGCUUAACUAAACUCAUUCUGUUUAUAGACCUAGAAUUGGGGAAGGAGCACAUCAGUGAUGACAGCUAGAGCCACAGGAUGACAGAACAUGUAAUUUACACAAACAUGCAGGUGGUGGUAGGAGAUACACAAGCAAUAAGAGAGAAGACAUGUCAUUGUCCCAAUCUAAGGUCAACAAAAGGAGCAAAGACAAACAUUAGGCUAAUUUGGUGAUACGCUGAAUCAGGAUGGCAGCCAAAAAAACAAAGGUGGACUUUAGGAGCUACUUUACAACAAGUUAAAGUGUGACAGAAGCACAGAAGCAGCCCUGCCAGGUAGUAGCUCAGACAGAGCAGGAAGAGAGGCAGGAAGAGAGGCAGGGUCACAAGUGAGGUGAGGCCUAGGCUUGUAACAAUGUGAUUAUAAAUGUAAAUGUAGAUAUUUGUUUUGUAUUACAAUGAGGUUGCACUGGUAUACUAAGAUGUCUAUUAAGCACUCAAUCAUCCAUGGUUUUAAUAAUGUGGGCAUGAAUACUGUACUAUGUAUAUAAAAUAUAUUAAAUAAGUGGUUACUAGCAUCAUCAGUGUGUAGAUGUAUUUUUCACAUGCAGUAGUUGAUAGAGUGGCUAAUUGUGGUGUAUUUCUAAGGAAACUGAUCCAGCUGUAGACAGCAAUAGACAGAGUAGCAGUGAGAGCAACAACAAUAAAGAACAGAGUGACAACAAUGAAGAACAGUGCAGAACUGGAGAUAAUCUGGACUUUGAAGUCAAACCAAACCAACCUCACCCAAAACACAUUGCAGUUCCAAAUCUGGCAAAUAGAGUCCUCCAUUUUAAGGAAAAUUGGUACAAGCAGUAUCCAUGGCUUCACUAUAGCCUCACUGUGAAUGGAAUUCUCUGUUUUCACUGUGUGAAAACAUACACAAUAAAGAAAAGUACUCUGUCCAAAAAAGGUAGACCCUGCAUUCUCCUCAAAGGGAUACAGUAACUGGAAGAAUAUUCUUGUUAGAUUUGAAUGCCACCGGAAUAGUAAAUCCCAUCAUCAUGCAGUCCAGUUAGUGCUCAAGAACCAACCCCAGUAGAUUCAAAACUCUCAAGUGCCUGGACAAAACUACAAGAAGAUGCUAGGCACUGCCUGCAAAAUAUUGUAGGUUCAAUACAGUACCUUGCUAGGCAGGGUGUGGCACUGUAAGCUCAUGAAACGCAAGAUAGGAAUCUUUUUCAGCUUUUGAAAAGCCAAGGAUGAUGUCCGUCUCUCUAGCUGGCUAUCUCGUUGUCAUAACUAUACUGCUCCUUCAGUGCAAAAUGAAAUUUUGCAAUUGUUAGGAAAUUGUAUCCAUGGUCUAUCUAGUCUCUACCAGUUUUGCAGUACUCAAUCAUUAUAGAUGGCACUCAGUGUGUCUCAGGACUGGAGCAAGAAUCUAUAUGUUUUAGAUAUGUGGACCAUGACCUGGUACCAAAUAAGGUUUUUGUUGGUUUGUAUGAAGUCCCUGGCACUACAGGAGAGGAGAUUGCUAGAGUGGAUGUGGAUGUCCUCUUGAGGCUAAAUAUUCCCAUGUCUGGUUUAAGGGGUCAGACAUAUGUUGAUGCAGCCAAUAUGUCAGGAAGACAUUCAGGAGCACAAGCAGAACUAAAGAGACAGCAACCAUUGACUUUGUAUGUGCAUUGUGGGUCACACUGUCUUAAUUUGAUUACACAGUCUGCUUGCCUAGCCAGUCCCGUGAUACGUGAUGCCUUGCAGUGGGUCCAUGAGCUAGGGACAUUAAGCCAACAUUCUGGAAAAUUCAAAGCCAUAUUUUCAGCAGUAGCAGCAGGUUCAGAAGGACCAAAAACAUCACGCAGUCCACUGUGCCCAGUGAGGCUGUCCACUGUGAGGCUGUGUUACAGCUAAAAGAGACAAGACCUGCAACUGUGGGAGAAGUGAGGGCACUCAUUGGCUUCCUUAGUUAUUAUCUAUUAUGCCCCUACUUUCGAUGUAUUAACAGAUAAAAAUUCACUCACUUACAUUCUCAGUAUGGUAAUACUCAAUGCAGAUGGGGAUCAAAGGGUUGGAGAAUUGGCAGAUCUUCAUUUUGAUCAAAAGUAUCAGCCCAGUAAGACAAAUGUAGAUGCUGACACACUCUCAUUUUCCUGUCCCCCUUGAUGAUCAAAUUAGAGAAUAUACAGAAAGUUUGUCUCCAGAAGUUAUCACAGCAGUGGGACAAGGGAACAGGGUUGUUAAAUAUGUUGUUCCCUGGAUGGCCGCUUUGCAGCUGGCCUCUGUUGGCAAUGUUUUACCCAUAGGCAUAUCUGUGAUCACAUCUCAGGACAUCAGGAAUGCACAGCAAGAGGAUUUGGCCAUUAAAAACUAAUUAACUUGAAAAGAAAAUCAUGGAAUCUGAAUGAGCUGGUAAGAGUCAGAUAUCCAAGGAUGUCUGAAAGAGUCAGGGAGGAGACAAGGAGAUUGGUUUGUGAAUGGAACAAGCUCAUUGUAGAUGAAAGAGUAUUGUACAAACAAGCAGGGGCACAGAUCGUUUUACCCCAUAAGUUUAAGCCCUUCAUUCUCAAACAUUCUUGUUCUUGUUGAUCAUUUUACUCAUUUUGCACAAGCUUACCCAACAAAAAAAUAGGUCUGGCAAGACAGCAGCUGAGAAAAUAUUUAAGGAUUUCUUUCCCCGUUUCAGAUUUCCUGAGAAAUUACGCCACGAUCAAGUAAUAAAAUAAGUCCUAAAAUUAGAAAAAAGUUUAUUUCAAAUAAUUCAGCAAUUGGUGGGUAUUUUACACUCUCGUGCAACUCCAUACCACUCCCAGGGAAUUCCAGUCGAAAGAGUGAACCAUACACUUCUUCAAAUGCUUUGUACACUGCAAGAAGAGAAAAAAAUCAGGCUGGAAAGCUCAUCUCCCCCAUAUAGAUCAUGCAUAUAUUCGCACCAAACAUAAAGCAACAGAAUUCUCCCUGUUCUUGCUUCUUUUUACCUGAUGAUCUGCUUUUUGACAUGAAAAUGGAGAGUGAAAGCAAAACUAAACAAGAAUUUGCACAAAACUGGGUAGCCAGGACGCAAGAAGCCUAUAAAAUUGCAUUAGAAAACAGUCAAAAGCAUUAACAUGAUAAAGGUGUGAAAGGGGCUGCACUUCCACCCAGCUAUUGAGUGCUUGUUCAGAACCUCUUGGAGAAAUACUGCUGUAUUUAAUACUGUAUGUAAGUUUGGCACACACCAAAUGACCUAUAGCCUACCGUUUCUACCGAAUUGCCUCCUAAUGAAUAGCUGCAUAAUUGGGUGAUUUGUAAUACAUUGCACAAUUAUCAUAACAUUUAGCACCAUAUUAAAUGACGGUGCAGCCUCUUUAUAAUGGCAACUACUAAUAUUCCUACUCUUGGAGCUUGGGUCUUAGAUCUCUUCUGAGAUUAGGGACAAGAUCAGGUCUAUGUGGAGAGCCGGACACUUUCUGACCAACAUCAGGGGUUUCUUGUUGCAGUCAGGUGUGUGCGUUUCCAACUUAACUCCUGCAACUAAAAAACCAACUGUACUGAAAAUGAACAGUGUAUCACUACAAGCUCUUGAUGAUAUACUGAAUGAGAAUGAUGAGUGGUCUGCUAGAAAUAUUCAGAGUGAGCUUCAGUCCCGAUUGAAAUUGCGAGUACGAACCAGUACCAUCAGGAGACGCGUAAAGAACUUGGGUGGACAUACGGCAAAGCCCGGACAGACUGUGACAACAACAAGGCCCUGCAUCUUACCCAAGUUCAGCAGUGGAUGGCUGCCAAAGAGAUAUUCAACAAUGUAAUCUUCUCUGACGAAUCAGUGGUGGCUUUGGUGUACUUUGCUUUGAUAUGCUAUAAGAAAAAAGGUCGGGACCUUGUGAAACUGAAAGCUAAGCAUCCUAUUAAGCCUCUAGUUGUCUUCAAGGUUUAUUCAACCCAAUACAGCAACAUUGAAUCUUUUCAUGCCAAUGAUUGUAAUUUUAUUAAUUUACAUCUACAUCUUUGAUUUAUCCUCAGGAAUUAUGGGCCGUGAAUGCAUCAUAAAAUCUAAUUUGGUGCUAUAAAUAGGGAAAAACUUCAAAGAACCUCAUCACUUCUUCCAAGACAAUGACCUGAAACAUAUAGCGGUCAGACAGUGUAUUGCUGAGGAGGGGUCAACUAGGUGAAAACACCAAAUCCCUGGACCAACCAAACUGAGCUGGUUUGGCACACACUGAAGGAGUUUGUCAGACGCAAGGCCAAGCCAAAGAGUAAAGAUGAGCUUCUUCAAGUUAUUGUGACUUUCUGGACAGAUUGCCUGACAUAAUACAUUGACCACAGGUACACAGGUACACCGACCACCUUCAGAAAGUUAUGCCAACUGUGGUUGAGUGUAAUGGCGGCUCAUCUAGAAUCUAGCAAAUUUAUUGUACUGUUGCCAUUAAUUAGUAAAUAAACUGCUUGACCACUAUAGCCUACUAUCUCCAAUUUCUAUAAGUACAACAAAGAAUAGGAAAAGCUAAUGGUUGUUAUUGAGUUAUGUGCCAACAUCAGUUAGUCAGCUCAAGCUUUACAUUAAAUAGGUACAUGAUGCUUAAAAUAAUUAAAGAACAGAAAGCACACAAAGUUAUUACUGUAUUGUAUGCGGGUCAGUGACGGUAAAGAAAUCUGAAAGGGCAAAUUAAUUUUUUUUAUUUUUGUUCUGUGUGAUUUCUAAAAAACUGUUCAGAAACCUUGGACCUGAUUAGAACCGGUCAGAGCUGCAGCAAGUGUCCAUAUUUACACCACGUAUUUACACCAUUUCCACAGAAAUGGUGCUGGUUCUCAAGCCUGACCCAGUGCUAGGACGACAGCUGGGGGAAUUGCAAAUCGCUUUCAGAACCGGCCCACACCUUCCACAUAAAAUUGCUGAUAUUUAUUAUAUAAAAAUAGAUCUGAUUACACAUUUUGCCAUUGACGUCUAUGCCUCCCCACUCUUAGGUGUAUUGUUGACUCUCACACUGGGGUCAAAAGUGUGAAACAUUUGCAGUGUGGAGAUAAGAAACGUGAAAAGGCAACUGGCAAUAAAGACAAUAGACUAAAUGGGAGCUUAGAGAAUGAGUUUAUUUAAACUAUUUACAUGAUAGGGUCUUAUAAAUGUUUAUAAAAACUCUAAGUUUUAUCAUCCAUCACUGCCAUGUUAAUGGUCCAUAAAACAUUUGCAUUUUAGCAACAAUUCAAUUUUAUUUUCAUAGUAUUUGUUUAUUUGAACGAUAAACCCACAGAGAUAUUGGCUUAAGGUUUUGAAAAA